UCAAUGAAAUUUCAAUAGCCGCAAUAUAUUUGUGCUAAGGUAGCAUAAUCAUUUGUCUUUUAAUUAAAGACUAGAACAAAAGAUUUAACAUUUUUAUUUCUUUCUCAAUAAUUAAUAUUUAAUUUAUCUUAAAUAUAAAAAGAUAUUUAUAACAUAAAAAGACGACAAGACCCUAUUGAACUUAAAUAAAGUUUAACUGGGGUAGUUAAUUAAAUACAAUUUUAAUUUACAAUUUAUAAAUCACAUAAUAUAAUUAAAUCCAUCAAGUUACCAUAGGGAUAACAG
rnacentral:rRNA from 1 species